CGGCGGACGGGUGAGUAACACGUGAGUAACCUGCCUUAGACAUAGGGAUAGCCUCGGGAAACCGGGAUUAAUACCAAAUGAAAUCACAUAUGCACAUGCAUAAAUGAUCAAAGCUCCGGCGGUCUAAGAUGGACUCGCGUCCCAUUAGCUAGUUGGUGAGGUAACGGCCCACCAAGGCGACGAUGGGUAGCCGGCCUGAGAGGGUGAACGGCCACAUUGGAACUGAUAAACGGUCCAAACUCCUACGGGAGGCAGCAGUG
rnacentral:rRNA from 1 species